rfam:Ipomoea nil DNA, scaffold: scaffold3056, cultivar: Tokyo-kokei standard.
GCCCGUAUAGCUUAGUGGAUAGAGCGCAAGGCUCUUAACCUUGUGAUCCUGGGUUCAAGUCCCAUGGUGGUCG